rnacentral:miRNA from 1 species
CAUCUUACUAAUAGUAUUUGA